AACGAACGCUGGCGGCAUGCCUAACACAUGCAAGUCGAACGAGAGCUUCGGGUCUAGUGGCGCACGGGUGCGUAACGCGGGGGAACCUGCCCGUAGGCUCGGAAUACCUCCCCGUAAGGGGUGCUAAUACAGGAUAAUUUCUUCUAACCAAAGAUUUAUCGUCUUUGGGGGGGCCCGAGUUGUAUUAGCUGGUUGGGAGUGUAAAAGCCUACCAAGGCGACGCUCGUUAGCUGGGUUGAGAGCCUGAGCAGCCACACUGGGACGGAGACCCGGCGCGGACUCCUACGGGAGGCAGCCGUGGGUGAUAUUGGACAAUGGGCGAAAGCCUGAACCAGCAAUGGUGCGUGAGUGAUGAAGGCCUUAGGGUAAUACAGCUAGUUUAUCCGCGACUAUACUGACAGUACCGAAAGAAUAAGCUCCGGCUAACUCCGUG
rnacentral:rRNA from 1 species